GAUAUGAGUCUAUGCUUUAGGACCUAUUUGUAUACCCGGAAAGAGGGUCUAUCCGUGGACUGCACAUUCUAUUGGGAAUUAGUCUGGGCCCUUACAUAGGCCCGGGAUACCCCAGGUUAAACAAAAAACAUUAGAUGCGAGUUUUCUAUUUUUCUUCAAAUAGAAGACAAAUUAUAAAAAUGAAACAUAGCUGUAAAGGUGUUUUCAUGGCUUAACUUAUCAUUUUUGUUUUCAUCAUGUGAUCCCCCACCCCCAAAGUCAAAGGUUCUGCUCUCGAUUGUCAUUCGUCUCUUUACGAAUAAACUAAAUGACGUUUUUUUUUGUAAAAACUAAAUGACGUUUAGUACACGAU
rnacentral:lncRNA from 1 species